AUGUAUACUGCAUCGUCUCAAGAUUAAGCCAUGCAAGUGUAAGAAUAAGAGGUUAACAUCCUCGAAUCUGCAGACGGCUCAUUAAAUCAGUUAUACCCUACUCGGUCGUGAACUCUUUACAAGGAUAACUCUCUGUAAAUCAAGGGCUAAUACUUACUAAAAUGGGUGACUUUUGGGAAGCCCUGUACUUAUUAGAUUCAAGAAUCAACGCGUGUCUUCGGGCACGGUUCAAAUGAUGACCCACAAUAAUUAUCGAAUCGUAGGACUAGCGCUUACGAUGGUCCGAAUGGGUUUCUGACCUAUCAAGUUUCGAUGGUAAUAUAGAGGAUUACCAUGCUAUUGACGGGUACGGGGAAUUAGGGUUCGAUUCCGGAGAGGGAGCCUGAGAAACGGCUCCCACUUCUAAGGAAGGCAGCAGGCGCGUAAAUUACCCAAUCGCAAUUCGCGGAGGUAGUGACAAGAAAUAACAAUACGGAAGCCGAAAAGGUUACUGUAAUUGGAAUGAGAACAAUUUAAAACACUUAACGAGUAACAACUGGAGGGCAAGUCUGGUGCCAGCAGCCGCGGUAAUUCCAGCUCCAGAAGCGUAUAUUAAUGUUGUUGCAGUUAAAACGCUCGUAGUUGGAUCUUGGAGGUUUAGGCAAGAGCUCUGUCCGCCUGAAGGCGAGUACGGACUCUCCUCCUCUGUAUUUGGUAACAACGCACGUGGGCCCUUAAUUGGGUGCUGCGUGAGCGGGAGGGUGUAACAGCCCGAGCGCGAGGGGGGCGCAGGCGCUUUCGGGUGGAACUGCGCAACCAGCGUUUUGCCUCAUUUACUUUGAAAAAAAUAGAGUGCUCAAGGCAGACCUUAGGGUCAUUGAAUAAUUCAGCAUGGGAUAAUAGAACACGAGAUUGAAUUCUUUUUGUUGGUACAAGGAAUUUAAACUAAUGAUUAAAAGGGAUCGUCGGGGUGGUUUGUAUUGAAAGCUAGAGGUGAAAUUCUUGGAUUUUUUCAAGACAAACAACUGCGAAAGCAAUCUACUAGGAGAUUUCCAUUAAUCAAGAACGAAGUUGGGGGAUCGAGGACGAUCAGAUACCGUCGUAGUCUCAGCAUAACAUGCCGACUUAGGGAUAGGAGAGUGUUUUCGUAUGACUUCCCCUGCGCUAAUACGAGAAAAUUCAUAAAGA
rnacentral:rRNA from 1 species